rnacentral:rRNA from 1 species
AUUGAACGCUGGCGGCAGGCCUAACACAUGCAAGUCGAGCGGCAGCGGGAAAGUAGCUUGCUACUUUUGCCGGCGAGCGGCGGACGGGUGAGUAAUGCCUGGGAAAUUGCCCAGUCGAGGGGGAUAACAGUUGGAAACGACUGCUAAUACCGCAUACGCCCUACGGGGGAAAGCAGGGGACCUUCGGGCCUUGCGCGAUUGGAUAUGCCCAGGUGGGAUUAGCUAGUUGGUGAGGUAAUGGCUCACCAAGGCGACGAUCCCUAGCUGGUCUGAGAGGAUGAUCAGCCACUCUGGAACUGAGACACGGUCCAGACUCCUACGGGAGGCAGCAGUGGGGAAUAUUGCACAAUGGGGGAAACCCCGAUGCAGCCAUGCCGCGUGUGUGAAGAAGGCCUUCGGGUUGUAAAGCACUUUCAGCGAGGAGGAAAGGUUGAUGCGUAAUACGUAUCAACUGUGACGUUACUCGCAGAAGAAGCACCGGCUAACUCCGUGCCAGCAGCCGCAGUAAGAC